GUCAAUGACACUCAGAAGAUAUACUGAAAAUAAAGUUCUGCCUGUGUGACCUUGGUAACAUGUCAAUGACACUCAGAAGAUAUACUGAAAAUAGUCACGCACAUACAGAGCGAAAACAUGAUAAAACUGUUUGAUAACAAGUCUUUUCCUCUCCAAUGUCAACGGAGAGUGUCUACAGACAGAGCGUUACCACUGGCACAUAAACAUGUCAUCAGCAGAGGAAGGAGAGCAUCAUUCAGAAUCCGCAGAAUCUCAAUAUACCCCCAAAACGAUUUAACACUUUGUUUGAAGGACUGCUUAUAAGAUGCUUAUAAACAUGAUUACAUUGUUUAUGAACCAGUUUACAUUAUUAAAUUGUUUAUUAACCAUUCAAUAAAGCAGUUUAUUAACAGGCCCUCAAAUCAAGGUCCAUACAGUGCAGUAGGUUAAAUCUUGUUGUGUCUCUUUUCUAAAGUCUGUCUUUCAUGGCAACUGGAGUAUUGGACAUAAAGGCACAUGGACAAAACAUGCUUAUAGCAGGUUGAGCAACAACAAGGUAAGUGAAAAAUAACAGAAUAAGGUAAAAGCACCAUAGUCUGGCUGUAAGGCACAUGAGUACAGUAAGAAGAGCCAUACUAGAAGCAGCAUCACACUUUCUCCCCUUCCUUCUCUUCUUCCUUCUCCCCUUCCUUCUCUUCUUCCUUCUAUUCUUCCUUCUCCCCUUUCUUCUCUUCUUCCCUUCCUUCUAUUCUUCCAUCUCCCCUUCCUUCUCCCCUUUCUUCUCUUCUUCCUUCUCUUCUUCCUUCUCCCCUUUCUUCUCUUCUUCCUUCUCCCAUCUCCCCUUCCUUCUCUUCUUCCUUCUCCCCUUCCUUCUAUUCUUCCCUUCAUUCUCAUCAUUCUGUCCUCUCUUCCAUUCACAUCCUUUUGAACACUCUUUUAGAGGGACUGAAAUCACACAGACGUUCCCAAUGCAAUUCCUUAACUUGUGUGUGUGUGGGGUGGUGCAUGAUAUCAUUCUGAGGACUAAGAUGUCUAGUUUUAGGGGAAAGUGUCAUGUAAAAAAAUAAUGAAAAAUACAUUUUCAUUACUGAAAUGCGUACUGAUUAAAUUCAUGGUAAUUUUAUAAAAAUACAUCUUUAAAAAAACCUAACUUGUUUAAAUAAAACAAAAUAUGUUGCUGUAGUUUCUCCAUAAAUUAUAAAAAUGGUAUACUAGUUGAAGUUUACAUUAAACUAUAAUAUUUAUUACAUACAAGCAGUGUCUGUGGAUAUGUCUCAUUACCAAGUUCCUAUAAAACUCCAGCUUUGAAAUAAACAUUUCUUCACCCAUGAUGCAUCAUCUAGAGUAGUCCUUAGAAAACAGCUAAAGAGCUCAAAUUGGGGAAAAGUCUGAUUUUCAUUUUAUAAUAAUUGUAUUUUCAGUGUUAUGUUUAACUCAGGCAUUUUCAUUAGGGGAGCAAUGUUAAAAAAUAUUAGAAAUAUUGAUUUAACUUUUUUGGACUUCAAAAACGAAUGAGAAUUUUGUGAAAACGUUGGUAGAAUGCAUAAUAUCUAAUAAAAAAUAAUAAUAAGUAUGAAAUAGAUACAUAUAGAUCCUAAUCUCAGUUAUUCAAGAGGACAUUUUGUGAAAAAUGACUAAAUGUAUUUUUUUAUUACAGUUUCGUGAGAAUUACCCGUGUGUGUGUGUGUGUUAUUAAUGGACUAUAAUAACAGGUCCAUGCCAAUUAAUGUAGUAUAUCCAACAUUGUGUGUGUGAUUGAGUGUUUAUAAUGUAGAACAGUGUAUCUAACCACAGGUACAGGUCUACCUGUAGUUCUCAGGCUUUAGGAAUGCCUUUCCUUCUCCUUCGUCCAUUUUCCCUACCACUCUGUCCCUUUCCUCUUCCCACCA
ensembl:lncRNA